UGGCUCAGAGGUUAAAGCAUCUGCCUGGAAUGCAGGAGAUCCGGGUUUAAUCCCUGG
rnacentral:tRNA from 1 species